rnacentral:tRNA from 2 species
GCCGGUGUAGCUUAGUUGGAAGAGCGUCUGCAUGGUAAGCAGAAGGUCACAGGUUCAAUUCCUGUCAUUGGCA